rnacentral:snoRNA from 1 species
CCUGCCCCUAGCAGGUGUGGCUGCUGUGUUCCAUGUGCAUCAGUAGCAGUCAGAGAGGAGAGAGGCUGUGUCUACACUCAGUGUUCUGACCUGUGGACAUCUGAAUGAUCUGUAGCCUAAUGCUCCCUGA